rnacentral:lncRNA from 1 species
GUUGUGGAGAGUGUCAAAUACCAGGCUCAGGUGUUAGAAAUGCAUUGAAUCAUCAGUGCAGGGUAUUCACAUAUAACAUGGCUGGAACAGUGUUCAGGGCGGUGUCUGUACCGUAUAGAGUGGAUUAAAGGACAAAAGAGAUGAAAGAAUACAGGUGACACAUGAAUUUAGCAAAAUGUAAUAAUCUGUGAAAGUAUGAUUGAAAAUAGGGCAAGGGAUGACAUCGCCAAGGGAGGUCUUUUUGGAAAAUAAACGGGAUUGUGAAAUACCAACGUUUUGGAAUGGGGAAGAAAAGGAGUUCGAGAAGAGGAGCUACUUAGGGAGCGCCCAGAUGGUUCAAACAUCAUAAAAACAACAGUGUUUCAGCAGAGGGAACACUGUUGCUUUGCUGCAGAGAGCCGAAAGAGGGUGAGAACUAAGCUGAUGGUGGAAUUUGGGGGAAUGACAGAGGAGGGCAAGAGAGAGAGAUGUUAUCUGUGGACUGUCCUUUCGAGUGGUUCAGAAGAGUUGGUAAGACUGAAAAUAGACAAUAAUCUCUUUUGAGAAUUGUGAUACUGCAAGAAAAGAAAAAGGAUAUUGGUUGAACUAAGCAACCGGAUUUAAAGUAUUCUUAUUUUCAAGGGUAGUGGAAAGCUAAUUUGUAGAAAAGAAAAGGUAAAGUUUAGUAGGCACAAGAAAUUGAAGAUGGAAGAAAAGAGAUACAGCUGAUGGGGAGGAAAUGAGACCAGAUGGGCUGGUGAAGUAGUUUGUCUCAGAAAAGAAGGAAGUGAUUUGUUCCUGAAUAGGAGGAAAGUGGAGGGUGAGUACAAAAGAAAAGGGAGAAGUUGAAGAUGUUUAUGUCAGAUGACUCUGACCACAAAGGUGUUAAUCAGAAGAUGUUACAGUUGAGCCAGACUUUGAAGAAUGUUACGACGGCCAAUGACUGGAAGAGACGACUUCAAGUUAUGUUCUUUAUCUACUAUCCAAUAUGGAAGCCAUUAGCCAUUUAUGGCUAUGUGUAGGAAAGCUGCCUGUUGCAUGGCAAGAGUAAUGCUAUCUUGAAGUGAAACAUCAUAAUAACCAGUGUUUGACUCUUGCAUACCAAGGCAUUCCCCCAGCAAGGUGAAGAAACAAUGCCUAUAACAUAGAUAACCCCUCAUAAAGAAACACUACCUGUAGCAUAGAAAACCCCUCAUAAAGAUCCUUAUCUAAUUUUCCCACUGGUCAGAGUUUUGCAAGAGGGUCUCAGACAUGACAAGCUGCACAUGUUUUACCAAAAAAAAAAAAAAAAAAAAAAAAAAGCUUGCAAUAGAAAGAAUAAUAUCUGCAGGGCAGGUAUGGGGAUCCACCAUCUUAAGUCCUUUUAUCCCUACCAAAUGUUUCCUUCUGAGAAACUGCAUUUGUCAGCUCAGCUCUCUCAACCUCUGGGAGUAGGUUUACAUAUAUUUGCUCACUUGAUAUAUGGCUGAUAGGAACUGAGCAAGUAAAAUUUUCAUUUCAUUGAAUUUUAAUUAAUUUACAUUUAAAUUGCUACAUGGGAUUAGUGGUUCCAUACUAGACAGUGAAGCUAGCCUGUACUUGUUAAAAAGAACCCAAUGAGUGAAAUGAACAAAGUAAACAUAGCACAUUUCUAAUGAAGCACAUAAAAUAAUGAGUGGCCAAAAAAAAAAAAAAAAAGACUGUAAAGUUGUCUUCUACGUAAAAAGUCCAUAAAGUUUAUACACAGAACAUACUCAAUUUGUUCAUUCCCUUAAAGGAUCUAGCAACACACUUUUUAAUGUAAGUACCCAAUUUCCCCAUUUUUAAUGAACAGAUGAAUACCAGUAUCUGCUAACACUGUGGGGUGGGGAGGGGAGAGUGAUAUAUACCUAAGAAAAUUAGCAACUUCAUCAAUAAUAAACACUUCUCUAUCAUUUAUUUAUUUUCUUUUAAAAAAUGUAUUAACACCUGAAUAAUGCAUUGAUUUUAGAUAAUGAAGUAUCAAUUUUGGUCAACUAAUUUUGACAAAUAUGUCACAUCAGUCUAAGAUGUUAAUAAAAAGAAAUGAAUGCGAAAGUA